ensembl:lncRNA
CUAUGUUGUAGAAAGGAGAAAGCAACAGUAAGCAGGCAAAGAAAUGCAUAAUUUAUUUUUUAGGCCAUGUAAAUGCUAUGAAAAGGACCAAACUUUCUAAAUAGUAGCAUGGCAGUGUAUGUAGGGAGAGCUGCUCUUUUGGUGGGGGAGGGGAGAAUAGUUUGGUCAAAGACUUGAAUGAAGGUCCUGAAAGCAGAGCAUCCUGGGUAGAGAGAAGAGUAUGUGCAAGGGUAUGGAGUUGAGAGCAGCGACUUCAAGGAUCUGAGGUCAGUCUUUCCUUCCUUCCUUCUGUUCCUUCCUUCCUUCCUUCCCUUCCUUCCUUCCUUCCUUCCUUCCUUCUUUAUCCCUUUCUUCCCACCCCCACCCCUUCUCUUUUUCUUUCUUGAGAAAGGGUUCAUGUAGCCCAAGCUGACCUAGAAUCUGCUGAUAUUGACCUUGAAUUUCUGAGCUUUUUUCCUCUACCACCCAAGUGCUGGGUUACAGCUAUGCACUGCACCGCCCUGUCUGACCUAUGUGGUGCUGGAAAUUAGACUCAGGGUGUUGUGCAUGCUAGGCAAGCAUCCCACUGAGCUCCGUCCCCAGUGCUGCGUGGAUCUGUGACUUUCUGAGGCAGAAAUCAACCAACCUUGAUGUAUGUGGUGGUGUAUGCUUGUAAUGCCAGCACUCAGGAGACAGAGUCAGGAAGAUCAGUAGUUCAAGGCCAGCCCCGUCUACAUAGUGAGUUCCAGGACAUCUGGGCUAUAUAAAACCCUCAAUUUUACCAAAUAUUCAUAAAAGUCAACCAGCUGUUCCUGCAUACUUUUAUGUCUUUUUCUUGCUCUAGAAUCAGACCCCUCACAGUUGCUCAAAUGCCUCAUCUCCAAAUUCCACUGGCCUCCAAUCCCAAUGGCAUCUUCAGUUCUUUGGAUAAAACAACAUGCCCUUGCCACAGGGCCUUUGCACAGAUAGUUGGUGGCUACUCAGUUCCCUUCCACUAGUCAAGAAUCCUUUGUUAGAUGCUUCCCCCAAAUUCACAUAAUCAGACCCUUUAUCUUACUUGGUAAUUAUGCAUUAAUCGGCAUGCUUACCUGGAGAUCUGGGGUCUUGUCUGAUAUCUAGCUCCAGGCACAGGGCCUGAUCUCUGGAAGAUACCCCCACCCACAUGCUUUUUCUGGACAGAGUUUCUCUGUGUAGCCCUGGGUAUCCUGGAACUACCUCUGUAGACCAGGUUUGGCCUUGAACUGGGAGUUCUACCUGCUUCUGCCUCCUUAGUGCUGGGAUUAAAAGUGUGCAUCACCACCACUGGGCUUUCUGGAAUAUACUUAGUGCUUGUUGAACAACUACUCAGGAAUGCUGUGGUAAAGGAUAUAGCAUGGGGGAGGGACUUAAAUCUACUGAUUAGUAGCAUCCAGGAGAAGUGAGUUGUUCUGGAGGGAAAGAGUACCUCAGGAGAGCAUAAUGACAGACUUUGAUUCCAGAAGCCACAUGCCAGUGAAGGACCAGUCUCUUGAGCCUUAGGGGAACUGGGUGGUAUUCCUUCAAGGAUGAACGGAGGAGGGACUCUGUCCUUAGAUCAUGGGCUGUUGGGCUUUUCAGCUAUAAAAUGGGCGCCCCCAAGGGCAGAGUCAUUUCCAGCUUGCCACCGGUGCAGGGACUGUAGGCUGUUGCUUCCCUGCUCCCCUCCUCCCCACUAGCUCGGCAGGGUACUGGGAGGGAAGAAGGGGGGGUGCUUCCUUAAGUCUUAAGUGCCUCCACAGCUGGAGCAGUGGUGCGUAUUUUAAGUGGAGUUUGCAGACAAUGGAGCUCUCUAGGGCUUGGAGGGGAAGGAAGCUGAAAUUCAGGACCAUUCUGUGAAUUCCCAAGUUCUUUGUGUCCAUUGUGUAGGAGAACAAUGCUGUUUGUUUGGCUUGUUCACUCAAGGUAGGGGAUUGGGGCUGGUGUGUGUGUGUGUGUGUGUGUGUGUGUGUGUGUGUGUGUGUUCCAGCACACUGAAAUUCCCAGAGUGGCUAGCCUACUUAGGGAGUGAAGGAUCCCUUAAAAAACUGGGGGUGGCUGUAGGUAGAUGGGAAGCUGUGGGGCUGGCAGGAGAGGAACUGAGUUCCCUGGGCUGUCCUUUAGUUUCAAGCCUUGCUUCCUUAGGGAUUUCUGCUCCUUUCUAGAGGAUUCUAAGCCCAGAGGCUGCAUCGUAUGGAGGAAGGGUCAACCAAAUAAAUACCAGUUGAACAAGUCUCUUCAUCCUGAGGCCUCACCUUCUUCUAUGUCCAUGGUCAAGUGUUUGGCUAGACAGAGAUGUUCACAACAUGUCAGCUCAUGCACUCCUGCACUCCUUGGGCCAGAGCUAGCUCCCCUCCUGGAGUACAUCAUUCUGUCUCACCAAGCCUUUCCUUGACCUUGAUUUUGGCUGAUGAAUGCACAGUCUGGGUCCCCAGCAGAAGCUGUACAUACACAGAACAAAGGACACAGGAGGCCUGAGCUUAGGUUAUAGAACCUCAGUAAGACCACAUGGCAGCUUGACUUACCCAGUGCCAAGCAGGUGCUCCAACCCUGAGCUUAACCUCCCGAGACCCCUCUCCUUCAGACUUAGCAGCUGUGUAUGGACUCUGUGCAGAUAUUACCUUCUAUUGCCUGAUCAAAGUCCCGCUGUGCCAUUGACUAUCCCAGCCUCAGUUUCCCUCUGCAGAUCAGACAACAAUCAUUCUACCCUGCUGAGCUUCAGCAAGGAGUAAAUGAAAUAGUGCAGCUCAAGGCCUGUGUGUCAUUCCUGCCUCUGUUGUUCAGACACGGGAAUCAAGGCAGAGGAGACAAGCUUCCCGCGGAGGAUAAAUGAAGGCAUUUCAAUUCAAGUCCAGGCCGCUGGCUCUAAAGCUGGGUUUUGACCAUCACCCCAGGCCUCCUGAAGAUAGAGGACUGAUGCUGGCUCUGAGCAGGCUUCUCUGGACUUUCCAACAGCACCUGCCAAAGCCAAGUUUCCCCAGUAAGAGGAGUCAUAGUGUCUAACCAACGCUGGGGGUUGAGGCUCCUCCAGCUCUGCCCACUGAUCUACUGGAGGUUGCAGUGCCCCCCCCCCCAACUCUGGCAAGGAGUGCCUUUCCCAAGCAAGGGGCACCAGCUCCGAAUAAGGAACAGCCUUGGGGCUGGAAGCUGAGUUCCAGGGUCUGAGAUUACAGUUUGGUAGGUGCUGGAGACAGCACCUGGGACCUGAUGUGCUCAGUGUGAGUCCUGAGGCUCACCAGGGAGCUUGUCUAUGCUUUGGACUUUCACUCGGCAAAGGCACAGACCAAUGCACCAAGAUGAAAUAGCCCUGGGAAUGAGAAUAGAAGCUCAAACCUUGGGGACCACAAUGGUGUGAAGGGGAGCUGAGCCAUGGCUCCCUCCAGUUUCUACCCUCUCCCUUCACCCACCUCAGCUCAGCCUCUUGCCACCUUCAUUCUCUCCACCCCUUCUCUCCCCAGCUUGUGGCUUCCAACUGAAUGAGAAGAGGGAGAAAAAAGGAUGGAGAAAGGCCUGGGGGAAGGGGUGUCCACUUUGUCGAUGUGAUGCUGCAGUCAUUCUGUGAAUGAAGCAAGCACCUCUCCUGAGUAUCCUGGGGCUUUGGUGAUGUCAUCCCACCAGGUUGCUGCUGCCAGUGGUGAGCCAGGCUCCAGAAAAGGCCCCUCUGACCUGGCUGGUCCAUGGAGGGGUGCAGUUCACAGAAAGAGUGAGCAUUCAGUUAGGACCAUGAGUUGGAACAAGCAGAGGGGCUCUUGUGGUUACAGAGAAGAUGCAGCAGGGAGGCUCUCACAUGCCUCUCCAUUUGUCCCAGAGAAAUGAGUGUAGUUGACUUUGGAUCCUUGGAGUGACAGGUUCCAGGACUGCCUCACCACUGGUUACCUGAGUCAAUACCUGUCCAAUCCUUUGUAUAAAAUGUAGAAUUUGCAUAGAGCCCUCACAGUCUUGCAGCCUACUUUAAAUCAUGUCCAGAUGACUUACAAUGCCUAAUACAAUGUAAAUGCUGUGCAAAUAGUUGCCGCACUGUGUUGUUAGGAAAUAAUGGCAAGGGAAAUCUCCUCUACAUGUUCAGUACAGAUGUAAUUUCCUCCCCCCAAAGAUUUUCUAAUCAAAGUUUGUCGAAUCCACAGAUGUGCAACCCAUGGGCAUGGAGGGCUGGCUGUCCUCUCUAGUUAGGGGCUAUUAUUUCUCUCUCUCUGUAUGUAGGUAUGUAUGUAUAUGUGUAUAUAGCUAUAUACAAAUAAUAAUAUACAUACACACAAAGGUAUGCAUAUACAUAUAUAUUAUAUAUAAUGCAACGAAGAAAUUCUGAGACAUCUAGCCCUACGAGAUGCUGUGGACUUGCUGUCAUUCUUUUAUUCAACAAAUGUUUGUUUCCUUGUUUAUUUAGUGAGUUUGUGGGUGUAGGUGUGUACACUUGCAUGUGGAAGACAGAAAUCAACUUUGGGGAUGUCAUUCUCGGCGUUACCUACCUGGAGCUUUUUCUGAACACUUUUAAAAAUGUAUUAUUAUCAUUUUGCAUAUGUGUGUGGCAUUUGUGUACAUGCAUGCUUUUAUGUGUGACUAUACACGUGUCUGGAGGCUCAAAGUUAAUGCCAAAUGUCUUCCUCAGUUUCUUUCUUCUCUAUUUACUGAGGCAGGACCUCUUCCUGAAGCUGGAACCCAUCAACUCUGGAUAAUAUAUCAGUCUAGCCUACUCCAGGGAGCCCCUCUUUCUGUCAACUAAGUUUUGGGAUUGCAGUUUGCCUCCAUGCCUGCCCAGCAUCUACCUGGUGCUGGAAAUCCCAACCCUGGUCCACAUGCUUGCACAGUAAAUGAUUUAUACACAGAGACAUCCACCCAAUCCACACCUUAUGAGACUGGCUUUGAACUUAUCAAUUAGGCAAGGCUGGCUGGCCAUCAAGCCUCAGGAUGAGAGCCAGCUUCUGAUGAGAUACCUGCCCUACUGUGUGUUUGCAGCCCUGACAGUUUAGUUUGCUUCUGAUGACGAUAUUGUACCCACUGAAUAGAGGAGGAACCCAAGACUCAGAAAACAAAACAUUUCCCUUCUCUACUUCUCGGCUUUAAGCCAGCCUUUCUGUGACUCAGAACCUGCUGAGGACCUCUCUGCUUCCCAGAACAGUCUGGAGCAACGCUUGAGGCAGGAUCAUCCACAUCUGGAACAUACCAAGAGUGUGUCUUGUGACAACUGACUGAUAGAGCCCAGGUCCUCAGGCAGAGGCACACUGUGAGCCACUGUAUGAGCCACCCCCACACAGGUACAGCUUCCAGGAGAGAGACUGCAUUCUGAGUGUGUGUGUGUGGGUGCGUGGGGAGUUAGUGGGGUUCUCAGUCACAAGGUUCAGAGCACCUUCCCUAAUAGUCUUACAGUCAGUACCCAUUCUUAAAGUGCCCCCAUCCCCACCCCUGUUGCCAUAUCUGGGCUUACAGAAUAUUGGUUUCUUAUUUAACACAACACAGAAGUGCUGUUCAAAGAUCUGUUAAGACAGGAAGGCCAGUCCUGAAGCAUAGGCCUGUAAUCCUGGCUAUUUGGGGGGCUGAGGCAGCAGGACCACUAGUUUAAGGCCAGUUUGGAUAACAUGGUGACACCCUGUCUCAAAAUAAAAAGUGAAAAGAGGGCUGGGGUGUAGCUCGAUGGUAGACCCUAGAUUCAAAC